GAGACCUCAGGUCAGGCGGGGCUACCCGCUGAAUU
rnacentral:rRNA from 14 species